UGUUACCUUGUUACGACUUCACCCCAGUCAUGAAANCNACCGUGGUAAGCGCCCUCCUUGCGGUUAGGCUACCUACUUCUGGCAGAUUCCACUCCCAUGGUGUGACGGGCGGUGUGUACAAGACCCGGGAACGUAUUCACCGCGACAUGCUGAUCCGCGAUUACUAGCGAUUCCGACUUCAUGCUCUCGAGUUGCAGAGAACAAUCCGGACUACGAUCGGCUUUCUGGGAUUGGCUCCACCUCGCGGCUUGGCAACCCUCUGUACCGACCAUUGUAUGACGUGUGAAGCCCUACCCAUAAGGGCCAUGAGGACUUGACGUCAUCCCCACCUUCCUCCGGUUUGUCACCGGCAGUCUCAUUAGAGUGCCCUUGCGUAGCAACUAAUGAUAAGGGUUGCGCUCGUUGCGGGACUUAACCCAACAUCUCACGACACGAGCUGACGACAGCCAUGCAGCACCUGUGUUCCGAUUCCCUUUCGGGCACUCCCGCAUCUCUGCAGGAUUCCGGACAUGUCAAGGGUAGGUAAGGUUUUUCGCGUUGCAUCGAAUUAAUCCACAUCAUCCACCGCUUGUGCGGGUCCCCGUCAAUUCCUUUGAGUUUUAAUCUUGCGACCGUACUCCCCAGGCGGUCAACUUCACGCGUUAGCUUC
rnacentral:rRNA from 1 species